rnacentral:rRNA from 1 species
CCUACGGGAGGCAGCAGUGGGGAAUUUUGGACAAUGGGGGAAACCCUGAUCCAGCAAUGCCGCGUGUGUGAAGAAGGCCUUCGGGUUGUAAAGCACUUUUGUCCGGAAAGAAAACCUUUGGGCUAAUACCCUGAGGGGAUGACGGUACCGGAAGAAUAAGCACCGGCUAACUACGUGCCAGCAGCCGCGGUAAUACGUAGGGUGCGAGCGUUAAUCGGAAUUACUGGGCGUAAAGCGUGCGCAGGCGGUUCGUUAAGACAGAUGUGAAAUCCCCGGGCUUAACCUGGGAACUGCAUUUGUGACUGGCGAGCUAGAGUAUGGCAGAGGGGGGUAGAAUUCCACGUGUAGCAGUGAAAUGCGUAGAGAUGUGGAGGAAUACCGAUGGCGAAGGCAGCCCCCUGGGCCAAUACUGACGCUCAUGCACGAAAGCGUGGGGAGCAAACAGGAUUAGAUACCCUGGUAGUCCACGCCCUAAACGAUGUCAACUAGUUGUUGGGUCUUCAUUGACUUAGUAACGUAGCUAACGCGUGAAGUUGACCGCCUGGGGAGUACGGUCGCAAGAUUAAAACUCAAAGUAGUUAGUUGGACGUUGUUGAGNGCGACGACGACGACGACGGAGGAGGAG